AUCACUUCUUGUCCUUUUGGCUAAGAUCAAGUGUAGUAUCUGUUCUUAUCAGUUUAAUAAUCAUCUCAGUUUUGCCCACUCAGAGACAAGAUGAUGAAUUCAGGAUAUGAAUUGUUGUGGAUUGAAUUGUUUGCCUCCAAAAUGCAUAUGUUGAAGUACUAUUUGUAGUAACCCAG
rnacentral:snRNA from 1 species